rnacentral:rRNA from 1 species
UGGGGAAUAUUGCACAAUGGGCGCAAGCCUGAUGCAGCCAUGCCGCGUGUAUGAAGAAGGCCUUCGGGUUGUAAAGUACUUUCAGUCGGGAGGAAGGUGGUAAGGUUAAUAACCUUGGCAAUUGACGUUACCGACAGAAGAAGCACCGGCUAACUCCGUGCCAGCAGCCGCGGUAAUACGGAGGGUGCAAGCGUUAAUCGGAAUUACUGGGCGUAAAGCGCACGCAGGCGGUUGAUUGAGUCAGAUGUGAAAUCCCCGGGCUUAACCCGGGAAUUGCAUCUGAUACUGGUCAGCUAGAGUCUUGUAGAGGGGGGUAGAAUUCCAUGUGUAGCGGUGAAAUGCGUAGAGAUCUGGAGGAAUACCGGUGGCGAAGGCGGCCCCCUGGACAAAGACUGACGCUCAGGUGCGAAAGCGUGGGGAGCAAACAGG